rnacentral:rRNA from 1 species
UACGUAGGUGGCAAGCGUUUGUCCGGAUUUACUGGGCGUAAAGAGCGCGCAGGCGGUCGAUUAAGUCGCGUGUGAAAGCCCCCGGCUCAACUGGGGAGGGUCACGCGAUACUGAUCGACUCGAAGGCAGGAGAGGGUAGUGGAAUUCCCGGUGUAGUGGUGAAAUGCGUAGAUAUCGGGGAGGAACACCAGUGGCGAAGGCGACUACCUGGCCUGUUCUUGACGCUGAGGCGCGAAAGCUAGGGGAGCAAACGGG